rnacentral:misc_RNA from 1 species
UCAAGUGUUCAGCAAACAACGAGGGGCGCGCCACACGAUUUCCAGCCGGCGCGCCCUGUGACUGAGGUAGCGUGCGAGCGGGCUGCGUUGCGCGGCGCUGCUGCGUGCGCGCGCUUGUGUGCGUCUGCGUGCGCGGACGUCCCACCAGCUACCACGCGGAGUGCAUACCCUUUCAGUCUUCGCGGUCGGUCGUUUUCUGGGCCAAGAUGCGCGCUCCCGCACCGCUGCCGCUUGCGUGCUGGUGAUGCCCGCGCUGCUGCCGACGUGAUGAGGCUGACCCUGCUCCGCUACUGACAUGUGUGAAACCGUGAUCCGAGACUCUACAGGGCAACUGACGGCGACAGCGUGCGCGCGCGGAGCCGGUGGCGUGUGGCCCGCGUUCCCUGCGCUUUUUUCGUGUGUGCUCUCUCUCUCUCUCCUCCUCUUCGUCUCUGCGGUGCGCGGAGCUGCGGUGAAGCGGCUUUAGCCUUGGCGCGGCGUUCACACCCCUGUGCCGUGUGCCAUCUUGGUGCGCCUCGAGAUUGAGAUGCCUGGCAUGCUGUGCGUGCGCGCGUUCGUGAUGACAUCAACCGACUGGAGUCUCUGACAGACCUCUUGAUCGAAAACAUCGCGUUGGAAUACUUCUUUUAGAUUUUGGUGUCGGUUUUGUGAACGAGGGUGCUGUUGGUGCUUGUUACCUUGUUUUAGUUUAGUGUACCGUCGUGGCGGUCGGUGCGGUGCUGCAAGUGUGUUGUGUUUGAUGCGUUCCUGUCGUGGUGUUUGCUUAAAGAUGUAAUGCGCGUGCGAUUGGUAUGCUGUCGGAUAAUCAUGUUCUGGGUUACGCUUAUCGGUUCUCGGGUGAUAAUGCGGCGCUCUGUUGGUGAUGUGGAGUUCAUGUGUAAUCUGUCGGCGUGUGUGGCGGCGUACGUAGGCGUUUCGGGCGUCGCCGAAGACUUUUCGCUGUGUUUCCAUGUGGAUGUAGGGGGCUUCAGCGCACUUAGUGGUUGAUUUACCUUCUCUCGUCGGUCUCUGUUGGUGAAGCACCUUUCGUAAUUCUUUCUCGGAAGCGCUACCUCGGAGAUGAGGAGAAGUGCUUCUUUUUCUGUAAUGGCGGCCGCACAGGAAUCAGCUGCGAUGCUGGAAGCUAGUGGCUGCCGUAGGGCACUGCUGCCUGUUGCGGUGUCUGCGUUCGCUGGCUUACCUCACUCUUCACUCCGCGGUUUUAUUCAAAACUACAUCGCGCAUCUGCGCCAGUGCAGCGACCAGCACAAAGCACAGAACUUGAGUGAACCAUACCUAAGGGUGGAAUUGACGGCAGCGGCUCAGCUGACGGCUCUUCUUGAUCAUGUCGAGUAUCUUAGCUGCACCAACUCGCCUUUUUUUUUCACCAUCCCAGCUGACGUGUACCCGACAGGAGACGCUGAAGUACACCCUGAGUAUGGCGCACUGCAUCUCACGGCCCACGUACGGGCGGCACGUGAAGGUGCUCAUGCUGCUUCUGUGCGAGCUUCGAUUCCGCAUUCUCAUUCGUGACGCCAGGUUUUUCGCGGAACAUCACCAAUCUGCCCCGUCGCUGUCGCGCAUGCGGGGCGAGUCCUCAGCUGCCCAGCUCGCUGAGCAACGAGCCCUUACGCGCGCGUUUCAGUUGCUUGAUUGGCAUCGUUAUCAUGACGCAGCGCACAUGCAAAUGCGGCGCAACGCGCUGGGGAAGGGUAAAGCCUCAGAGUUCGCGAAAGAACUUUCUCUCGCGUACAAGCCGGUGAUGCAGGCAACAGAGCAUAUUGGAAAAAAGCGUCGAGCACUCACCACUCGCAUGGAUUGCUCUGUGAAGACAAGGGAGUGGGCGGCUGCCGGGCAUGACAUUGCUGGCGCCCUGGAGAAAUUUGGAGCUGCAUUCUACUGGGUAGAGCAGCGGGACCGGCUUCUUGGUCGCCUUCAGCUCUUUGAGGCUGCACACUCGCGCGUUAUUAGCGGCACCGAAGUGUUGUACUUAUGUAGCCGUCUGCGCGGCUACGCAAAUAUCGCGUUUACCGAACACGUCACAAAACCGCCGGAACUGAAUCCGUCACAGGUAGAUGUGGCGGAGUUGGUCACGUUUUUCACAGGUAGUGGGGGUGGGGCCCUCGUGGUGGAGAUGGCGCUAACCAAGUUUUUCGGCGUUGUUGUAAACAGGCACGUGAGAGCCCCCGAGCUGUGGGCAAUGAACUACUUGUUACACUGGUACGGCGUCGAGGAGGGUAUCAUGCUGGCGCACGAGGCAGAUGCUGUCGAUGGUGGAUUCAAGCAGCAGGGCGGCGGCGCCUUUGAAGAGCAGUUUCUAAUAGACGAGAACAAAUUGGUAGUUUCCCAGGUCCUCGUGCCGCAUUGCUGCGACAUAACGCGCUUUGAGGAGGCGACAGCCAUGGCUUGGGUGGAGGCCUGCGUUCGCUGCGAAGUGACCGAGAAGCGCGAGACAGAGGGUGCAUCUCCAACGUGGCUGGGGACGCCUCCAGUCUCGCUUCCGCCGGCGUAUCGUCUUGCUCGCAACGUGAACUACUACUUGAAAGAGGCGGCCGAGGAUAAAAUAGGCCGCAUUGCUGGUGAGCUUGAUGGUGUUAUUUAUGACGCCGCCACCCACCACGUUUUGUUUGUGCUGGAGGCAAAACAGAACACUGCCGUUGUAGGCAAGUCAUUCAAGCAGAAGGAACGGCUGUAUAACGCGCUGGAUGCUACAUGGAAGACUUUGUCGCACGCAUCUCAGGAGGCGGCGCUGACGGCUGUCCAGCAGUCGGCCCAAAAUGAGACCAAUACGGCAACUGACACUGCCGCAGGUCGGAAUGCGACCUCCGCUGUAGAAGCCGCAUGCGCGGCCUCCACUAAACUGCGCACCGACCCGGUGGAGCUUCACUUUUUUUGUGACUCCGACGCCAGCAGCGGAAGCAGAACGCGAAAACUUGUCCGUGAAUGGAUGCUCGCUCGUGGCCGGUGUGGGCGCCGAGCCCGCUGCGAACUACCAAGACAUGCGGAAUUCUGGUGACAUGACCGCGGCAGCUGCGCCACCCGCUCGCUCAAAGGCAGCGGCAGCUCGCCCCGCGACCGCUGGUAAACCCUUUUUCACUCAAGACAACUUUGCCGCCUUCUUCGGGGCAACUGCGAGUGUGGUGCACAGUGAUUCCACGGGACCGUCUCCGACUCCAACGGGAAGCGGUAGCAUGAUGCCUCAGCAUUUGGGACGAGAUCAGAGAUGGAUUUAUUUAACCUCCUUGUCCACGGGGAACUCCUCCGGUGCGAGAACCACAGCGCCUGCUCCUGGUGAUACUAUACACAUGGCGGAGUUGACGCUCGUCAGGGCUGCUUGUGACUCUGUCGCUGAAGCAUACGACAGCUACUUUCAAACAAGCACGCUGCCACCGACUGCGACGCCGGCUCUGCAGUCUCUCGUGUCAGCGAUGCGGGUGUGUUCUGCUUACGCUCCCGAAACAGAGCCAACGGCUCCUUUUCAUCUCUCUCUUGAGCUGCCCCCCGCAGGAGUGCAUCAGCGCCCGUGCAGAGACAGCGGCGGUGAGCCGGUCGGAUCCGUACGAGUAUGUCCUUCUGUUCCGCCAUGAUGUCCGGUGCAAAGACGGCAGAGCAGCUCUCGAGCAGGUACGGCUUCGAGAGAACUUCAUUGAUGCCUCGUUUUUUCCGAGUACUCCCUCAUCUUAGCGGCCGACACUGUCGUCAAGCAAAUGGCUCGCAGACGUAAGGACGUGCCAUCGUUCUGCGACGUACUGCAGAUGUUGAUGCAGCAGGACUGUGUACGCAAUCUGGUGAUGUUUGUCGGUGACGCGGCAGCGUGUGUGUGAGAAAGGACCCGUACAUCUCUGUGUGUGUGCGCGAAUGGGUGGUCCGUGCACAUGACUCUAUGUGACCCAGAAGUGACUGUCCCUCACCCCCCUCUCCAAAGUUGAACAGAAGAGGCAAAAAAAAAAACAUUACUGUGCUAGAGAGCGCUAGCUCUCUCCUCCCCUAAACGUCUGUCUCCGCCUUUUUGUUAAACUUUUCUUGGCAGAGCGUCGUUCGUAUGCGUGCCGGAGAAGGACUCCGCAUGCUCCGAGUCGUUAUUCUGUGCGUUGCCCGUGUGGUUAUCGUGUAUUUUCUCCAAGGUGCCAACCAGGGUAGAAAGCCG